CACGUAGGCGGAUCAGAAAGUUGGGGGUGAAAUCCCAGGGCUCAACCCUGGAACGACCUCCAAAACUCCUGGUCUUGAGUUCGAGAGAGGUGAGUGGAAUUCCGAGUGUAGAGGUGAAAUUCGUAGAUAUUCGGAGGAACACCAGUGGCGAAGGCGGCUCACUGGCUCGAUACUGACGCUGAGGUGCGAAAGUGUGGGGAGCAAACA
rnacentral:rRNA from 1 species